AUUGAACGCUGGCGGAAUGCUUUACACAUGCAAGUCGAACGGCAGCACGGACUUCGGUCUGGUGGCGAGUGGCGAACGGGUGAGUAAUGUAUCGGAACGUGCCCAGUCGUGGGGAUAACGUAGUGAAAAUUACGCUAAUACCGCAUACGAUCUAUGGAUGAAAGCGGGGGAUUGCAAGACCUCGCGCGAUUGGAGCGGCCGAUAUCAGAUUAGGUAGUUGGUGGGGUAAAGGCCCACCAAGCCAACGGUCUGCAGCUGGUCUGAGAGGACGACCAGCCACACUGGAACUGAGACACGGUCCAGACUCCUACGGGAGGCAGCAGUGGGGAAUUUUGGACAAUGGGCGAAAGCCUGAUCCAGCCAUUCCGCGUGCAGGAUGAAGGCCCUCGGGUUGUAAACUGCUUUUGUACAGAACGAAAAGGUUUCUACUAAUACUGGGAGCUCAUGACGGCACUGUAAGAAUAAGCACCGGCUAACUACGUGCCAGCAGCCGCCGUAA
rnacentral:rRNA from 1 species